rnacentral:rRNA from 1 species
UACGUAGGUGGCAAGCGUUAUCCGGAAUUAUUGGGCGUAAAGCGCGCGCAGGCGGCUUCUUAAGUCUGAUGUGAAAGCCCACGGCUCAACCGUGGAGGGUCAUUGGAAACUGGGAGACUUGAGUGCAGAAGAGGAAAGUGGAAUUCCAUGUGUAGCGGUGAAAUGCGUAGAGAUAUGGAGGAACACCAGUGGCGAAGGCGACUUUCUGGUCUGUAACUGACGCUGAGGCGCGAAAGCGUGGGGAGCAAACAGG